UAUAAAUACAAGCUUCGCUGUCAAUAUUCACGAGGAUUUCUUCUUCAAACAACAUGUUUCAACCGUGUAUCCUGGUGUACUCUCCCCUUUCAUCGCUACCCCGUACUGUCAUGGGACGAAAAAGCAAAGAAGGGGUCAUUAGUUCAGAGGGACCCAAGUCUUCUGUUCUGUGUAGAUGAAGAACAGAGAGAUAAAGUAAUGGAUAUCUGAGACCAACUUUGGAGCCAUGCAGCUGCGGAUCUUAUUGCGGAUUCAGUAAAAUGUAAGUUUUACAAGUAUGACACUGGCUUCAGCAGUCAACAAGUUAAGAAGAAAAGCAGGCGAUAACUCGCCGCAAGGACAAGUACAGAACAUUGAAGAAAGAAUAAUUCCUUCGAAAAAAACAUUUCGUUAUUUCAUAAACAGAUAAUAAAGCUUUCAGUUCAUUACCGACUAGAAUAGGCAUCAUUAUUACAUUAGUUGUACCU